rnacentral:misc_RNA from 1 species
UCCCAGUUUAUCCAUCAAAAGCGUUGCAAUUACUGAACCUAAUAAGUUGCAAAUUCCAACAGAUACAUUUGCAAUUUUGGAAGGAACACCAGCGCUUUUAAAGACAGUUGAUGAGAAAUAGAAUAUGGCAUUUAUGCCAGAUAGCUGUUGUAAGACAAAAAGUGCAGACCCAAUGAAAACCACUUUAAAAUGGCGACCAUAAAUCAACUCUGAUAUCUUUACUUUUUCUGCAUCAUC